AAAAAAAAUCAAAAAAAGAAGAAAAAGAAAAAACACGUAAAAAAAAAAGAAGAGAAAAAACCUAACGAAGGCAUGUGUUGUCGUGGGGGCAAAGCGAAGGCGUGUGCAAGGCAAAAACAGAAUUGGUUUUGGGAGAAGGAAAAAAGGAAAGAUUGGGGGUGAUCAUCGAAGAAAAAAAAGGCACCAGAGAGACUGAUCGAAGGGUAGAGAAGGCUUGCUUGAUAGAACAUCAUCAUCAGAGGAUCACCGGAGACCGAGACCAAUAGCAUACAACUUCCCAAAGGUCGGUAUUCUCCAACAUGAGUAAUUCUAGCAGCGCGGCCAUCCUCUCGACUGCGACAGUUUCUGGGAUAGAGCACUCGCAGACAUCAGGUAUUAAGUUUGAAACCGCGCUCGAACAGCUCAGUCACCACAUAAAAGAAGAACAGAUGAAGUAUGAAAGAGAGAUUUUGAGUUUGACUCACUUGAACAAGAUUCUUAUUGACCGAACUGAAGAUCAUUCUAGUAAGGAGGGAAGAAGAGAGGCAAGAAGCAGAAGAUUUAAAGAAAAAAAUACAAGAGAUAGAAAACACAAUUAAAAAAAUGCAGGAAAACUGGGAGCAGGAAAACUGGGAGAAUUUCAAAAAGUUUACCCAAGAAACAUUGAAAAAGAUGAGGUCAAAAAUAGCUGACAAGGUGGAAGACAAGGACGAAAUUAAGUGAUGUUGAUAUCAUAUAAAAGAGCUUGUCCACCUUUAUGUGCUGUCAGCUAGUUCUUAGACAAAAUCUUACUACGUUUUCCCUAGACGUGUAGCUGUUACUUGCUACUGCUGUUAUAUUUGCAGAUGUUCAUUAAUUCAGUUCAUUAAUAAGUUGUUUUGAAAACUAAAACAUAAAUUUUAUGACUGCAAUCCUAGGUGCAGUUGCUACGGUGUAUUAUUUAUUGUCGUAUUUCAUUAAGUUAGUUUGAGGAUUGUACUCUCUCUUUUGUGUUUAAAAAAAAUAAU